rnacentral:lncRNA from 1 species
UAGGAACAGAUAUGGUAAUGUGUAGGUCGGGGCUAGGGCCACAGAUAAUGGUCUAUAGUGGUUGAUGCAGGCCAAGGGCUAGGGCACAGCUAUGGUAAUGUAUGGAGGCUAGGGGCUAGGGCACAGAUAUGGUAA